rnacentral:rRNA from 1 species
GAUGAACGCUGGCGGCGUGCCUAAUACAUGCAAGUCGAGCGAACAGACGAGGAGCUUGCUCCUCUGACGUUAGCGGCGGACGGGUGAGUCACACGUGGAUAACCUACCUAUAAGACUGGGAUAACUUCGGGAAACCGGAUCUAAUACCGGAUAAUAUAUUGAACCGCAUGGUUCAUUGGUGAAAGACGGUUUUUGUGGAACUUAUAGAUGGAUCCGCGCCGCAUUAGAUAGUUGGUAGGGUCACGGCUUUCCAAGGCUACUAGGCGUGACCGACCGGAGAGAGGGAUCGCCCACACGGGAACGGAACCGGGGACCAGAGGACUAAGGGAGGCAGCAGAAGGGAAUGUGGGGCAGUGGUCGAGAGUAUGACGGAGCAAGGGGGAGUGUGAGACGAAGGCCCCGGGAGCGUAAAGCUGUGUUACUGGGGAAAAACCGCUGUGUCCUGAGACAUGGCGGGAGUGACGGUACUUAAUAAAGAAGCAACGGCUAACUACGUG